CAGUGGCCCCCAAAAAUGUGCCCUUCAAGGGGGUUUUGGACUUCAGCUCCCAGAAUCACAGUGUAUUGUCCAACAUGGCUGAGGCUUCUGGGAAAUGAAGUCCACAAUCUCUUAAAAGGCACAGUUUGGGGACCACUGCUGAACCCUUUAUAAACCCUUUAUAUGAACCCUUUAUAUUAUAACGGUGGUCCUCAAAAUGUGCUCUUUAGGGGAUUUUGGACUUCAACUCCCAGAAUCACAGUGUAUUGUCCGACAUGGCUGAGGCUUCUGGGAAAUGAAGUCCAAAAUCUCUUAAGGGGAACAGUUCUGGGGACCACUAUCGCUUUAAGACAUUCGAACAGGAAAUGGGUGCUUUGGUUGCACAAAGCGGCGAUGGGAGGGGGUGAGGGGAGGAGCGCGUUACUGCGCAGGCGCGGAAUGGGAGCCAAAAGGGGCCAAGGAUGCCAUUGCCAGGAGAGUGUCUGCUGGGUUUUUCCUUGUUACAAUGAGAGGGGUUUUUACAGACUCCAUGGGCUGGACAUCAGGGCCAGCAUCCCUCCUCAGCAGCACCUUUGGCCCAAGUGUAUUUGGAAAGAACAGGCUGGGGGUAAAACACUGAAUUGCAGCCUCAUCAGAUGCAUGUUGACCAGUGAAGAAGCCCUGCCUUGUUAGCUGGAUCUCCUUCACAGAAAGAGAUCUAAGUGGCUGUUCCAAGGGGCUCCGUUUUACUUUUGAAGAAAUGCCUGGGCUACUGAAUUGUUCCAGGUACGCUGGAGGAACAUGACUGUCCAGGGGACUGACGGACUUUUGGCAACUGUAUUCUCCACACAAACUCAAUAUACCCCCAGAUUAAUGCAAGAUAGGGGCAUUAUGGAAAAUAAAAUAUCCGCUGUUUCUGAAAUAUAUUAUCAGCAGAUGGCUAAUAAAAUUAAUUUGAUUUUAAUGCACACUGACUGGUGAAACAAAAGAAGCCUUAACAUAUAAAUACAAGUAGAGUAAUGAAACAGAAGAAUGGAGAAAUUCUACAUUCCUGAGACUAGCAUCCAAACAAGCAUGUAACAUUACAAUU